rnacentral:lncRNA from 1 species
AUUGAGACUCGAGUAACUUCCAAAGAAAUCAAUGGAUCUAAGUGGCAACAUAUCGAUGUAUCGAACAAAUGCAAUCUAAAAAUAAAGAGAAAGUGUCAUUGUAAAUGUGCUAAGGCCGGGUGAAGCACAAAAAAUACCUUGGUGAUAAAUGAUAACACCAAUCGUAAGAGACCCUGCCAGUAAAACAGCAAGCAGUUAAACGUUUACACAUUACACAUAACUAGCUAACCAUUACAACGGAACUAGGAAUCAAAUGCAUUAUUUAAGUUGCAUAAGCAACUGUGCAUAAGUACCAUCAGGAUAAGCUUGCCUUGCCAGCUGGAGUGCAUCAGAAUUAGCUAAAUCUGCCCGAGCGCGUGGAGGUACGGUGCCACUAAGGAAUCCGCGGCGACUUGCAACUGCAGCCGCCGCCACGGGCGAGCUCGGAUGGCGCGCGGCGCGGUCACCUCAGACCCGGCCGUCGCCGUCCCGGAGGACGAGGACGCCUUGCCGUGACUGUCGGCCUCGCACAGGCUUGGCCGCGGGCACGCACGGCCGCCUCCCCGUCGCGGGGGCGCGCGAGCUGCUGUUGCGCGAGUGGGCCGCAUCGCGGGUAGGCGCGCUCCCCGC